GACGAACGCUGGCGGCGUGCUUAACACAUGCCAGUCGAACGGUGAAGCGCCUUCCUUUUUGGUGGGUGUGGAUGAGUGGCGAACGGGUGAGUAACACGUGAGUAACCUGCCCCCUUCUUCUGGAUAACCGCAUGAAAGUGUGGCUAAUACGGGAUAUUCUGGGUCUGUCGCAUGAUGGGUCUGGGAAAGAUAUUGUUUCGGUGGGGGAUGGGCUCGCGGCCUAUCAGCUUGUUGGUGGGGUGAUGGCCUACCAAGGCGGUGACGGGUAGCCGGCCUGAGAGGGUGGACGGUCACACUGGGACUGAGACACGGCCCAGACUCCUACGGCAGGCAGCAGUGGGGAAUAUUGCACAAUGGGCGCAAGCCUGAUGCAGCGACGCCGCGUGAGGGAUGGAGGCCUUCGGGUUGUGAACCUCUUUCGCCAGUGAAGCAGGCCUGCCUCGUUUGUGGGUGGGUUGACGGUAGCUGGAUAAGAAGCGCCGGCUAACUACGUG
rnacentral:rRNA from 1 species